UAUCCAUGGGUAAGCAUGGAACUCAUUUCCUGGGACAGCCUUGACACUUGCCGUCUCUCCCUUGAUGCUUGCCCUCUCCCCCUCUCCCACCGCUCACCAGCAUAGGUUGCUCACCAACGUCACAUUGCUCAUUGGUCGUUGCUUCUCACUGUCGUCUGCUACUCAUAGUGUAUGAGUCUCAUUGGCUUGGACAGCACACUAACGUUCCAACAAACUGUCUACUGAGUCCAGCAACAUGUGCAAUGAGUGUGAUGACCUUUUCUAGCUUUUUUGGGUGAGGCCCCACAAUUUAAUCACCACUGAGGGUUUCCUCGAUGACAACUGCGGUUGCAUUUGUUAUCAAGCUUGAGGUGAUAGAUGACAGAAAAGGGAAGCAUGGGCAAUAAAAUGAAGAGAAAUAACAUUUGAAGUGCACAAACUCAAAAGUGCAUGAAUGGAAGUGCUACAUUUCUUAUGUCUUCU